rnacentral:rRNA from 1 species
GACGAACGCUGGCGGCGUGCUUAACACAUGCAAGUCGAACGGGCCUGUCUUCUUUUUUGGGGGGUGGGUUGAGUGGCGAACGGGUGAGUAUCACGUGAGUAACCUGCCCUUCGGUCCUGGAUAACCGCUUGAAAGGGCGGCUAAUACGGGGUGGUCCGGUUGGUCCGCAUGGGCUGGUCGGGAUAGAUUCACUGUUUUUGGUGUUUCGGCGGGGGAUGGGCUCGCGGCCUAUCAGCUUGUUGGUGGGGUGAUGGCCUACCAAGGCGGUGACGGGUAGCCGGCCUGAGAGGGUGCGCGGCCACACUGGGACUGAGAUACGGCCCAGACUCCUGCGGGAGGCAGCAGUGGGGGGUAUUGCACAAUGGGCGGAAGCCUGAUGCAGCGACGUCGCGUGAGGGAUGGAGGCCUUCGGGUUGUGAACCUCUGUUUCCGGUGGUGAAGGCCCUGUCCGUGUGGUGGGGUUGACGGUAGCCGGGGAUGAAGCGCCGGCUAACUACGUG